rnacentral:rRNA from 1 species
AUUGAACGCUGGCGGCAUGCCUUACACAUGCAAGUCGAACGGCAGCACGGGGGCAACCCUGGUGGCGAGUGGCGAACGGGUGAGUAAUACAUCGGAACGUGCCCAGUAGUGGGGGAUAGCCCGGCGAAAGCCGGAUUAAUACCGCAUACGACCUACGGGUGAAAGCGGGGGAUCGCAAGACCUCGCGCUAUUGGAGCGGCCGAUGUCAGAUUAGGUUGUUGGUGGGGUAAAAGCCUACCAAGCCGACGAUCUGUAGCUGGUCUGAGAGGACGACCAGCCACACUGGGACUGAGACACGGCCCAGACUCCUACGGGAGGCAGCAGUGGGGAAUUUUGGACAAUGGGCGCAAGCCUGA